rnacentral:rRNA from 1 species
GAUAAACGCUGGCGGCGUGCCUAACACAUGCAAGUCGAACGCCCUGGAGCAAUUCAGGGAGUGGCGGACGGGUGAGGAACACGUGGGUGAUCUACCUUGAGGUGAGGAAUACCGGCGAGAAAUCGCCGACAAUACCGCAUACGUUCGUAAGAACAAAGUCGCAAGACGCCUGAAGAUGAGCCUGCGUCCGAUUAGCCAGUUGGUGGGGUAAUGGCCUACCAAAGCAGCGAUCGGUAGCUGGUCUGAGAGGACGAUC